GGAUGUGAGGGUGAUCUGGCUGCUACCUCUGUCACCCCAACCCCAUUGAUUACCAGGGUUGAUUUGGCUGAUCUGGCUGGCUAGGCGGGUGUCCCCUUCCUCUCUCACCACUCCAAGUGCGAAGUGUGUUCCUCUCAAACCUGCACCCUUGGACAAAGAGGACCCUGAACAGAGACUGGCUGGUCUUUAGUCCGGGUAGCUGCUCUCCCCUGCUAGAACCUCCAAACAAGCUCUCAAGGAAUACACCUAAAAUAGACCUACUAGCCUUUUCCAAAAUGAAGACCCUAAAUCU
rnacentral:snRNA from 1 species